AGGCGUGUGGUGUAGUGGUAUCACGUCUGCUUUGCAUGCAGAAGGCCCCGGGUUCAAACUUCGGCACAUCCU
rnacentral:tRNA from 1 species